rnacentral:lncRNA from 1 species
UUUGAAAAAAUCCUAGCCGUCCCCUUAAGUUCUCUGAAGAAUUUUUUUUUUCCUUUACACCCAAAACUCUAGCUGCCCUAAUCCCAUCACUAAUGUCACCUCCCUCAUUCUCACCUCUCAUUCUGACCUCCCUGGUCCAUUCACACACACAUUUGAAGAACAAACAAGCACAAAGAAGGAUCAUAAAACAAAUUUGAAGUUGAAAAGAUAAAAAAACAAGUGAAACAAAAGCUUCAAAAAUGGAUUAAGAGGGUUUUCUACAAGGAUUUCAGUUUCUGCUAUUUGAAGUACUUUCCUGGGACUCUCACGGUUUAGUUGGGGUUGAGGAUUACUCUAUUUCUGCUGUGACUUCGUUCACAAUUACUUUUGAAUUCCGUUACUGGUCCGUACGUAUGAG